CCUACGGGAGGCAGCAGUGGGGAAUAUUGCACAAUGGGGGGAACCCUGAUGCAGCGACGCCGCGUGAGUGAAGAAGUAUUUCGGUAUGUAAAGCUCUAUCGGCAGGGAAGAAAAUGACGGUAACUGACUAAGAAGCCCCGGCUAACUACGUGCCAGCAGCCGAGGUCAUACGUAGGGGGCAAGCGUUAUCCGGAUUUAAUGGGUGUAAAGGGAGCGUGGACGGUUAUGCAAAUAUGAAGUGAAAGCCUAAGGCUCAACCAUGGGACUGCUUUGGAAACUGUAAAACUGGAGUGCAGGAGAGGUAAGCGGAACUCCUAGUGUAGCGGUGAAAUGCGUAGAUAUUAGGAGGAACACCAGUGGCGAAGGCGGCUUACUGGACUGUAACUGACGUUGAGGCUCGAAGGCGUGGGGAGCAAACAGGAUUAGAUACCCCAGUAGUC
rnacentral:rRNA from 1 species